AUGCUGAUGGUGCGGUACUGGAGAGGCAUGGAGCGCUUCGGCGGCGUCGAGGCUUACAAUCAGAAGGAGAUAUUCACAGUGGGCGGCAUCACUGGCCGAAUUGAGGUGUUGAAGGUGGACAUCGCCUGCCGGAGGCUGGUCCCCAUCAGUAGCCUUGGCCGGCAUGCGGUGUUUCUUGGCCGGACGCACUGCUUGCACAUCUCUACUGAGAUAUUCCCCUCCAUUACUGCCAGGUCGAUAUACCUGAGCUGCUAUCAUCAGCAAACUUGUGGGUUCGGCAUCUAUCAUAUCAACAACAAGAACCAUGGGAGGACCGAACCCGAGCACAAGUUCGUCUUCGUUGUAACACUGGGUUUAACUCAUGCUGCCAGACCCUACAACCUUGAUGAGUAUCUUGUACUCUAUGUCAACUGGAGACACAACCGUAGUAGGUCAUGUCUCAAUCAUACCAGUACUUAUUGUAGGGAGUACUCUCGCUAG
rnacentral:rRNA from 1 species